CACUUUGGGUCCUUUCAGGUUAAGAUCAAUGUCAGGAACUUUCAUGUCACCUUCCACUUUUGGCAGAGACACAUCCAUGUCACCCUUCACUUUGGGACCUUUCAGGUUAAGAUCAAUGUCAGGCAUGGAGAUCUUGGGGGCUUUGAUGUUCAUCUCAGGCAUUUUGAAUUUGGGACCUUUCAACUUUCCCUCUGGGCCUUCGAUAUUCACAUCUGGAACAUCAAUGUCCACCUUGGGUCCUGAGACAUCAAGGUCAGCCUUGGGCAGG
rnacentral:lncRNA from 1 species